rnacentral:rRNA from 1 species
AGAUUGGAAUUCCUGGUGUAGCGGUGGAAUGCGCAGAUAUCAGGAGGAACACCGAUGGCGAAGGCAGAUCUCUGGGCCGUAACUGACGCUGAGGAGCGAAAGGGUGGGGAGCAAACAGGCUUAGAUACCCUGGUAGUCCACCCCGUAAACGUUGGGAACUAGUUGUGGGGUCCAUUCCACGGAUUCCGUGACGCAGCUAACGCAUUAAGUUCCCCGCCUGGGGAGUACGGCCGCAAGGCUAAAACUCAAAGGAAUUGACGGGGACCCGCACAAGCGGCGGAGCAUGCGGAUUAAUUCGAUGCAACGCGAAGAACCUUACCAAGGCUUGACAUAUACGAGAACGGGCCAGAAAUGGUCAACUCUUUGGACACUCGUAAACAGGUGGUGCAUGGUUGUCGUCAGCUCGUGUCGUGAGAUGUUGGGUUAAGUCCCGCAACGAGCGCAACCCUCGUUCUAUGUUGCCAGCACGUAAUGGUGGGAACUCAUGGGAUACUGCCGGGGUCAACUCGGAGGAAGGUGGGGAUGACGUCAAAUCAUCAUGCCCCUUAUGUCUUGGGCUUCACGCAUGCUACAAUGGCCGGUACAAAGGGCUGCAAUACCGCGAGGUGGAGCGAAUCCCAAAAAGCCGGUCCCAGUUCGGAUUGAGGUCUGCAACUCGACCUCAUGAAGUCGGAGUCGCUAGUAAUCGCAGAUCAGCAACGCUGCGGUGAAUACGUUCCCGGGUCUUGUACACACCGCCCGUCAAGUCAUGAAAGUCGGUAACACCUGAAGCCGGUGGCCUAACCCUUGUGGAGGGAGCC